CCUACGGGUGGCAGCAGUGAGGAAUAUUGGUCAAUGGACGAGAGUCUGAACCAGCCAAGUAGCGUGAAGGAUGACUGCCCUAUGGGUUGUAAACUUCUUUUAUAUGGGAAUAAAAUGUUCCACGUGUGGGAUUUUGUAUGUACCAUAAGAAUAAGGAUCGGCUAACUCCGUGCCAGCAGCCGCGGUAAUACGGAGGAUCCGAGCGUUAUCCGGAUUUAUUGGGUUUAAAGGGAGCGUAGGUGGAUUGUUAAGUCAGUUGUGAAAUUUUGCGGCUCAACCGUAAAAUUGCAGUUGAAACUGGCAGUCUUGAGUACAGUAGAGGUGGGCGGAAUUCGUGGUGUAGCGGUGAAAUGCUUAGAUAUCACGAAGAACUCCGAUUGCGAAGGCAGCUCACUGGACUGCAACUGACACUGAGGCUCGAAAGUGUGGGUAUCAAACAGGAUUAGAUACCCCUGUAGUC
rnacentral:rRNA from 1 species